rnacentral:rRNA from 1 species
AACGACCGCUGGCGGCAUGCCUAACACAUGCAAGUCGAACGAGAUCUUCGGGUCUAGUGGCGCACGGGUGCGUAACGCGUGGGAAUCUGCCCUUUGGUUCGGAAUAACAGUUGGAAACGACUGCUAAUACCGGAUGAUGACGAAAGUCCAAAGAUUUAUCGCCAGAGGAUGAGCCCGCGUAGGAUUAGCUAGUUGGUGUGGUAAAGGCGCACCAAGGCGACGAUCCUUAGCUGGUCUGAGAGGAUGAUCAGCCACACUGGGACUGAGACACGGCCCAGACUCCUACGGGAGGCAGCAGUGGGGAAUAUUGGACAAUGGGCGAAAGCCUGAUCCAGCAAUGCCGCGUGAGUGAUGAAGGCCUUAGGGUUGUAAAGCUCUUUUACCCGGGAUGAUAAUGACAGUACCGGGAGAAUAAGCUCCGGCUAACUCCGUGCCAGCAGCCGCGGUAAUACGGAGGGAGCUAGCGUUGUUCGGAAUUACUGGGCGUAAAGCGCACGUAGGCGACUUUGUAAGUUAGAGGUGAAAGCCUGGAGCUCAACUCCAGAACUGCCUUUAAGACUGCAUCGCUUGAAUCCAGGGGAGGUGAGUGGAAUUCCGAGUGUAGAGGUGAAAUUCGUAGAUAUUCGGAAGAACACCAGUGGCGAAGGCGGCUCACUGGACUGGUAUUGACGCUGAGGUGCGAAAGCGUGGGGAGC